CUGAAGUGGGCUCUGCACUGACAGCAGAGAGCCCAAUGUGAGGCUUGAACUCACAAAGUGAGAUCAUGACCUGGGCCAAAGUUGGACGCUCAACUGACUGAGCCACCCAGGCACCCCAAAGACGUCACACUCUUAACCAGGUCACUGAGGAUCCCAUGGUAACAGCCCCUCCCCACCAACUCCCUUGUCAGCCUGCAGGCUCCCGCAGCAUGCUCACCUGUCUGAGCAUCAGGGCCACCUGGCUUGAUAAGGAGUCAAGGAGUCAAUGAUUUCCCUGGCCUCUGUGGUGCAGGUGAUGGGAAGUGUUACAAAGUCCAACAUGGCCUUUUACUGGAAAGAGAGACAAGGGGGUCAAAACACUUUCCAGAGGCCCUGCUUCUUUUAGGCCUCGGGCACAGGCUGCACCUUGGAAGGCAGGCAGGCUGACUCAGGAAGACAUGUUCUCUAGGAUACUACUGGGUUACUCAAUAUGGCUGCUGAGUCCCUACACCUGCCCUGAAAAUACUUCACCCACAGCCAUGGCGGCUAACUGUUCUCUUCAAGUGUCCACAACCUGUAUGGCUGCCUGCUGCCUCGUGGUCAGCCCGACUGCUCCUCACAUCCUGAUUGGGGACCUGUUAUGCUGACUGGCCCAUGGAGACAGGCACUUUGUUUCUGAUAUAACAUGAGACUGAAGAUGGUUUUCUAUUUUAUGGAUUCGGUAAUAAGCUUUCUUGGGCACAGGGAAAGGGUGGUGAUACCACACUAAGGGAGGGAGGCAGGGCCCCAGAAUGUGCCACACACACAAACACCCUCUGCUUGUGUCCAGGCAGAAGGCAAGCAUGGCUCCUGGUCUCUUGGAUGGUUCUGGGACUCCUUGUGCUGGGUGGAGCUGGCAGAAGGAUUAAGCCACCUUUGGAUACCCAAUCCUACUGUGGAGUAACCACAGCAUGUGGCUCAACAAAACUAGCUAGGACAAAGCUACCCAUGGGGAGGCUGCCCAUCUACCAGACCCUCCCAGCCUGAAGCAUUCUCUGUACAAGUGGAAAGGAAACCAACCAUGUCCUCAUUCCAACUCUCUCCUUAAAGCAGCCUCACAAAAUUCCCAGGACUUGUCAUGGAUCCUUGACGAGAUACUAGGGAUCAUCCUAGCCUUGCAAAAAAGGAUGGACCUGCCUUGUCCACUGGUAUCCCAGUCUGAAAAUGCAAACUACCCAUCACUCCUUGUGUUCGAGAAACAGCAACAAGCCUGAACUGCCAUUUGUGGAUAUGACCAAAUAUUUAAGAACCAAGACCCUCAGGAAUAUGGGGAGGGGGAGUAGCAGUGGGGGUUCCGUUCAGUGCCAAGAGUGCAUGGGUGGCCCACCAAAUCUCAACACUUUCCUUUCCCUUUCUGUCCCAAUGUAGCCUCUCACUUGGGCUAAGACACCACUUUUAAUUAUUAUUAUUUUUUUUUAUUAAAAUACUGUUAUACCCAGUGGAAUGCAGCAGCAAUCCUGGUACAGGGUGGCAUAACAAAACAGCCAUGUUUACAUUUUAAAUAUUUACGAUAACUUAAACAUACAGACACACAUCAUGGUCUUUGGCAGAAAAUGUUCACAGCACAAAAAAUACUUUAAAAGAAAUACCAAAUAUUAAUCCAAAAUAUAUUAAGUUGUUUUUUUUUCUUUCACAAUAUUUUUUUGCCUUUUUUUCUCUUUUUUUCUUUUUGCUUUGUAAACAAUGCACAUGAACCAAAUGUAUUUUUCAGCUUUAAAGAAGGGUAGGGGGAUGUAAAAAAAUAUGCAAUUGUCCAGCAAAUGCAAAUGUUUAAAAAGGAAACUUGAGGAAUCAUGGG